AGACCCGAAACCCGGUGAUCUAGCCAUGGGCAGGUUGAAGGUUGGGUAACACUAACUGGAGGACCGAACCGACUAAUGUUGAAAAAUUAGCGGAUGACCUGUGGCUGGGGGUGAAAGGCCAAUCAAACCGGGAGAUAGCUGGUUCUCCCCGAAAGCUAUUUAGGUAGCGCCUCGUGAAUUCAUCUCCGGGGGUAGAGCACUGUUUCGGCUAGGGGGUCAUCCCGACUUACCAACCCGAUGCAAACUGCGAAUACCGGAGAAUGUUAUCACGGGAGACACACGGCGGGUGCUAACGUCCGUCGUGAAGAGGGAAACAACCCAGACCGCCAGCUAAGGUCCCAAAGUCAUGGUUAAGUGGGAAACGAUGUGGGAAGGCCCAGACAGCCAGGAUGUUGGCUUAGAAGCAGCCAUCAUUUAAAGAAAGCGUAAUAGCUCACUGGUCGAGUCGGCCUGCGCGGAAGAUGUAACGGGGCUAAACCAUGCACCGAAGCUGCGGCAGCGACACUGUGUGUUGUUGGGUAGGGGAGCGUUCUGUAAGCCUGUGAAGGUGGCCUGUGAGGGUUGCUGGAGGUAUCAGAAGUGCGAAUGCUGACAUAAGUAACGAUAAAGCGGGUGAAAAGCCCGCUCGCCGGAAGACCAAGGGUUCCUGUCCAACGUUAAUCGGGGCAGGGUGAGUCGACCCCUAAGGCGAGGCCGAAAGGCGUAGUCGAUGGGAAACGGGUUAAUAUUCCCGUACUUGGUGUUACUGCGAAGGGGGGACGGAGAAGGCUAUGUUGGCCGGGCGACGGUUGUCCCGGUUUAAGCGUGUAGGUGUGUGUUCCAGGUAAAUCCGGUUCACUUUAACACUGAGGCGUGACGACGAGGCACUACGGUGCUGAAGCAACAAAUGCCCUGCUUCCAGGAAAAGCCUCUAAGCAUCAGGUAACAUCAAAUCGUACCCCAAACCGACACAGGUGGUCAGGUAGAGAAUACCAAGGCGCUUGAGAGAACUCGGGUGAAGGAACUAGGCAAAAUGGUGCCGUAACUUCGGGAGAAGGCACGCUGACACGUAGGUGAAGUGAUUUACUCACGGAGCUGAAGUCAGUCGAAGAUACCAGCUGGCUGCAACUGUUUAUUAAAAACACAGCACUGUGCAAACACGAAAGUGGACGUAUACGGUGUGACGCCUGCCCGGUGCCGGAAGGUUAAUUGAUGGGGUCAGCGCAAGCGAAGCUCCUGAUCGAAGCCCCGGUAAACGGCGGCCGUAACUAUAACGGUCCUAAGGUAGCGAAAUUCCUUGUCGGGUAAGUUCCGACCUGCACGAAUGGCGUAAUGAUGGCCAGGCUGUCUCCACCCGAGACUCAGUGAAAUUGAACUCGCUGUGAAGAUGCAGUGUACCCGCGGCAAGACGGAAAGACCCCGUGAACCUUUACUAUAGCUUGACACUGAACAUUGAGCCUUGAUGUGUAGGAUAGGUGGGAGGCUUU
rnacentral:rRNA from 3 species